rnacentral:rRNA from 1 species
UACGAAGGGUGCAAACGUUGCUCGGAAUUAUUGGGCGUAAAGCGCACGUAGGCGGCUUGGCAAGUCAGAUGUGAAAUCCCUCGGCUCAACCAAGGAAGUGCAUCCGAAACUGCCGAGCUUGAGUACUUAAGAGGAUCGCGGAAUUCCCGGUGUAGAGGUGAAAUUCGUGGAUAUCGGGAGGAACACCAGUGGCGAAGGCGGCGAUCUGGGAAGAUACUGACGCUGAGGUGCGAAAGCGUGGGGAGCAAACAGG